rnacentral:rRNA from 1 species
GGUGCGAAGGCCGGGGGAGCAAGCAGGAUUAGAUACCCCUGGUAGUCCCCGGCAGUAAACUAUGGAUACUUAGGUGUUGGAGGUAUCGACUCCCUUCCAGUGCCCGCAGUUAACACAUUAAGUAUCCCCGCCUGGGGAGUACGUUCGCAAGAAUGAAACUCAAAGGAAUUGACGGGGGCCCGCACAAGCAGCGGAGCGUGUGGUUUAAUUCGAUGCUACGCGAAGAACCUUACCCGGGCUUGACAUACAGGUGGUAGGGAAGUGAAAGCGGACCGACCCUUCGGGGAGCCUGAACAGGUGCUGCAUGGCUGUCGUCAGCUCGUGCCGUGAGGUGUCCGGUUAAGUCCCGGUAACGAGCGCAACCCUUGCCGUACGUUAUACGUGUCCAUACGGGACUGCCGGUAUAAAGCCGGAGGAAGGUGGGGAUGACGUCAAGUCCAGCAUGGCCUUUAUGUCCGGGGCUACACACACGCUACAAUGGCCAGCACAAUAGGUAGCAAGACCGCGAGGU